UAUAGUGACCAAUGAUUAAGUAGCGUUAUCCCAGAUAUGUCUUGGAUAACUUCUACCAACCUGGAAUGUAAUAGUUCCCUUUGUAAAUCGAGAUGACCGAGUCUCAACCAUGAACACUGAAAGCAGACACUGAUCACAUGAGGCUUGAGUCCACUCUGAUUGGCUUGUCACAACCAGUCUUGUCUCUAGGAAGUAGAGCACAUUAAGAGAUUCUAUCAGUGAAGCAAAACCAUUUAAAGAAAAUGACUCCUCUUAUGUUUAUUGGCUAUGUGACAUGUCUGAUCCUGGAAACUUUGGUUCGUUUGGAAGCUCAGACUCCAUCACCGUCUUUGCAUUUUGAAUCGGUCAGCGUCGGCUCAAAUGUGACUUUAAAGUGUUUCUAUAAAGAAACUGAUGGAGUGAUUUUCUACUGGUAUAAACAAACUCCAGGGCAGAAACCACAGCUGAUGUCAGAGUUUUAUAGAUAUAAGAGAAAUGGCUCACUUACGGGUGAAUUUUGCAAUGAUCCACGAUUUGAGCUGGAAACUGGCAAAGACAAAAACCACUUGAGGAUCUCCAGUGUGCAAAUGUCAGACUCUGCUACUUACUACUGUGCAGGAGUUCAUACAUAUCUGUAUACAUUUUUAGAGGGCAUUACAGUCCAUGUAAAAGAACCAAAUCUGAACAUUUGGACCUUGGUCGAUCAGUCCAGAUCUGAGAUCAACCGGCCAGGAGGUUCUGUGACUCUGAAGUGUACGGUACAAAGUGGGACCUGUGAUGGGCAACACAGAGUUUUCUGGUUCAGAAACUCUGAAGAACACCUUCCAGAGAUCAUUUACACCAAUGGAGCCAGUGAUGACCAGUGUAAGAAGAAGCCAACCACACAGGCACACAGCUGUGUGUACAGCCUAUCCAUAGAGAGUCUGGACGCGUCCAAUGCCGGGACCUAC